UGCCCAGCAACUCCUAUCCCUACCUCGCGGUACCGGCCGGAAACUAUGAGCAACCUUAGGGAAGAUCGGGUAACCAACCCCGGUGGGAGCUUUGGUCAUAGGCUGAAAGGGAAGG
rnacentral:ribozyme from 1 species